UACGUAGGGCGCAAGCGUUGUCCGGAAUUACUGGGCGUAAAGCGCACGUAGGCGGCUUUGUAAGUUAGAGGUGAAAUCCUGGAGCUCAACUCCAGAACUGCCUUCGAUACUGGGAAGCUUGAGUUCGGGAGAGGUGAGUGGAACUGCGAGUGUAGAGGUGAAAUUCGUAGAUAUUCGCAAGAACACCAGUGGCGAAGGCGGCUCACUGGCCCGAUACUGACGCUGAGGUGCGAAAGCGUGGGGAGCAAACAGG
rnacentral:rRNA from 1 species